AAAGGCUCUUUUAAGAGCCACCCACGUUUUCUCUGAAAGAGCUGU
rfam:Balearica pavonina gibbericeps contig86663, whole genome shotgun sequence.